rnacentral:ncRNA from 1 species
UUUAAUUGGUUUAUACUACUUUUCUAAUGUGUUAAUCAUUUAUGAACUAUAAUUUAUAAAAUUAUUGAAUAAAGUUUUAUUCUUGCUUUCCUAUUUAUUAUCUGGUUAGUUUACAUGAAAAUUUUUGUGGGAAUUUUUAUUAUUCUUAAUGAUUAAUAGGAAGUUCUCAGUAUUUGGUAUUAGUAAAUCAAAGUCAUUUGGAUCUAGUAAUUCAGUAUGUGAUUGGCUAAAAUCGUGCCAGCCGCCGCGGUUAGACUUAGAAUUUAAAUAAAUAUUUUUGGUUUAGAAGUUAAUUGAAUCUUUAAAAUGCUUAAUUUUUUUAUAAAGGCGGAAAUUUGAGAAGAAACUGCAUUUAAUAAAAGUGUAAUGAAGCUUUGAAAUUUAAAAUUUAAACUAGGAUUUGAUACCCGAUUAUUUUUAAUAUAAAAGGUGAAUACAGGAGUAGUAAGAGUUAAGUUCUUGAAACUCAAAGAAUUUGGCAGUGUUUUAGUCUUUUCAGAGGAACCUGUCCUAUAAUGGAUAAUACACAUUAAAUUUAACUUGAUUUUGUAAUAGCCAGUUUAUAUACCGCCGUCAUAAGAUUAUCUUUUUAGAGAAAGAAUUUUCUGGAUUUCUGGAAGUAAAAUUCAUGAAUAAUGAAUGGAGGAUUAUAUGUCAGGUCAAGGUGCAGCUCAUAAUUAAGUAAGAGAUGGAUUACAAUAAAUUGAUUUAUAUGGAUAAUAUGUUGGAAUACAUAUUUGAAGGUGGAUUUGAAAGUAAUAUGGUUAUAUUAUGAUAAUAUGAUUAUAGCUCUAAAACAUGUACACAUCGCCCGUCGCUCUCAUUAUAAGGUGAGAUAAGUCGUAACAAAGUAGGUGUAAUGGAAAGUGUAUCUAGAUUGAA